GGGAGAACGAAAGAGGUGGAUGUAGUGGGUGUAGCAGAAAGGAGGAAUGCCACACAACCACGUGAUGACAGGAAGAUGUUGGACUGUUGGAGAAAUAGAAGAAGCAGGAGCAUUGGCGCAGUGCGUAAAGUCAGCUUUACGUUAAUUAUUUUAUAGACAGCAAGUCCACACAUGUUUGUUUUAUGGCAUCCAUCUGAUCAUCCCAUACUCCACUCCCUUUACACAAUCCAAUAGAGCAAGAUCAUAUGAGGAGUGGUGAAUGCAAUGCCACAUGCAGCACUAUUAUUACCG